GUCUUUACUGUUGUCCUGACUGCCUUCACAAGCUGAAAUCUCAAUGCUAUUGGUGGCACAUAUGAAAAAAGAAAAGAAGAAGAAGAAGAAGAAAGGAGGCGAGAAAAGACUUUAUAUAUUGAAGCCACAUUUGUCAAACCUUGAAUCCCACACAGAUUUGGGAACUGUGUGUCAAGCUGAGCUCCAAACUUUCAACUCUGAAAAGCGCUACUUACCCCAAGUAAAAGGCAAUUUUCCAGCUCAAAGAAAGGCAGUACCGCAAGGUUCAGGAAAAGAGGUCAGGAGACUCCUUGUACAUCAAUCAGCUCCUGGAAAACAACAUGUCAAUGAGUUAAGUGAACACGAAUCAGGCACAUAUGGAUUGAAUUUCCCUUGAAAUACUCCUGGGGUCCAAGUUUUAAGGGGUGGAAUGGAGGAGGGGUGAAGAAUCUUGGGAAAAUCUGCAGCCACGGAAUGUCUGAAAAUACUUCUAAACUGUCGACCAGCAAGGCUGCAAAUCCUGCUGACCUGGAUCAAUGCUGGGUCCAGCUGACCUUUGCUUUCUUUAGAUGAGACCAGAUCUGACACUGGAGUGACAGCCAAGGACUUCCCACCCUUGAUCUGAACUUCAUUCCAUGGCACUGAGGAUAGAAAGGUCUGCUAGAAAGUGCCUUUGAAGCUCCAGGGAAGGGAGCUGGGAUUUAUUUCAGUCAGAAACAAACUGUGAGAAGCAUUCAAGGUGACCAGAUAUGAUGGCCAGUAGCUUGUGUUCAGCAAGUCAUCCUUCUCCAAUACCUUCCUCCCUGGAAUCAUGAGGAAAUAGUUAUAAAGAGAUGUGGAAAAAAGCAACUGAGUUUCUUGGAACCAUCCUCAAACAACACACAUCCUUGUGUUCGGCACAGUGCAAAUGUCCUCCAGUCCUAUAGACCCAUAAAGUAUGAAGGCAAUGCACAAGGCAGAUCUGCAGUAGUAUGGAAGAGUAUGUGUGAAAGAAAAGAAACAAUCAUGUUUUUCUGUCCAAUAUAAAUUUCAUGAAUGUUAGCACUACUUAAAUCUGAUUUGAGGUUGACACUGCAAGCGUUUUGCGUGGAGGAUAAGUUACUUCAGUUACAUCUACACAGAUUCUAAACUUGGUUAAUACCAAGCCUUUUACCUAGAAAGCAUCAUGGGAAAUUUAAGAUGAGAAAGGUGCAUUUCCUCUCUAAUGGGAAACCUGGUGAGAAACGAGAUGUGUUUCAUUUGUUGUUGUUUUGUGCGGCAUUUUACAGUCGAGCCAACUCCAUUUCUCUUUAGGGAUCAGUGCCAGACUAGAACUUCUUAGUGCCCAGAAGCUAUGAUUGUGGUCUUUUCUCUCUCUUCCCAUUUAUUUAUUUAUUUAUUUACGGACUGAGGUGAGAGACAAUCAGAAAUAAAUGUUAAUGAGAUUAUUCUUUUUUUAAACAAAUGAUUCCCUGUCAACAGAAAAAAUUUUUUUCACGAUUGUCAAAUUGUGUAGACGAUGUUCAAAUGGCUCAUUCAUCUCCAGCAGUGCCACCACGUUGAAAAUGUACUUUUUCUGGUGUGCAGUUGAUUGAUGUGCAUUCCCAUAUCAGGCUAAUGGCACUUUAUUUUCCAACAGUAGCAAGUAAUGAGUGACCUUGAGUGCAUAUUGUUUUCCUGAAAGGCCUUGUUGCUCAGCUUCCUUCAUAAGCACCCCAAGCAAGCAAGGCCUCUGUAUUGGUGUUUUGCAGCAAACCUCAUUUCUUUCAUGGCUUUCUGUAAAAGAAUUUGAUACAGGGAUAGAAGCUAACGUCAGUGAGUAAAUGAAAUAUUGAUCCGUACUACUCUGGCCUUGCCUUCACCUUGUCCCAGGGCGGUGAGUUACUGACUUUUCCGUUUUGGCUGUAAUAGGAAUUAUUACAACAGGUCUGUGCAAGUAAUUACUUGGCAUGGUAAAAAAAGGAGGGUCCAUCAUAUAUUUCUGUAGAGACGUUAGUUUCUACCAGACCAGCAGUCCACAGUUUUUGGCUCUGUCUCUCCCAGUCUUGAUUCAAUUCUUUUAACUAUCAUUAAUCACACUCCUUGUCAGCAGAAGUUUAUCAAAAGUAUUAAGUGAGCAAGGUUGCCUGGCCUCCUUAAAAAAAAAAAAAUCAGCCAACACGGGGCAGUAAAUUUCAAAAUAUGGAAGGUUGGUUCCGUGAUAUAUACGAGUGUCUCUUCAGCUAGAAUGAGCCGUUUGUUUUAGUGAUAGAUAUUGUAGUUUGAGCUGUGAUAGAAUCCUUCUCGAGUUUAUAUGUCGCAGGCUAUCGUUUAUGAGAGACCAUGUGUUUCUAGAUGGUGAAGGUCAUGGCUGAUGGCAAAAGUAAAAGCAGUGGUGAUUCAUUAAAAAGAGUUGAUAGGGCCCGUGGCUGACAGGGAUAAAUAGGAACAUGUGCUUUGCCCAACCCACCAGCACCUAAGUUGACAUUGGGUUUCUUUGGCCUUAACUCUGACAAAUCCCCAUCGCCAGACAGUCAAGAACCCAUAGGAGACAGGAGCAAUGGCGGGUUCCCUUCUUUCUUGUUAGUAAUAGAGUCCAGAAAAAAGGGAUUACAGUUCUGUCCCCUGCAGUUUGGCUUGGAUAAUAUUAACUUUAAAACUGCUAUUAAUUUUCUAAGAAAAUAUAAGUAUUUUUAUUGUACAAAAUUCAAAUGUGAUAGAAAUAUGGUACAGAAAAGUUAUAUUUGACAUAUCUAAUUAUUAAUAAUUUCUUUUUUUUAAUG
ensembl:lincRNA Gm14014 predicted gene 14014